rnacentral:rRNA from 1 species
UUGUAGUCUGGAANGAAAGGUUCGACGGAUAAUUUCUUUAUUUUAAAUAAAAUUGAACUUAAAUAAUUAGUAAAAAUGCUAAUGUAUGAUAGAGGGACGAGAAGACCCUAUUAAGUUUUACAUAAUAAGAAAUAUUGAUUUAGUAGGCUUAUGUUCUUAUUGAUGUUUGAUUGGGGCAAUCUUAAACAAUAAAUGUUUAAUAUAUUUACUAUACAUAAGUUAUUGACGAUCCAAUAAUAUUGAUUGUUGGAAUAAAUUACUAUAGGGAUAACAGCGUAAUAUAUCUGGAGAGUUCAUAUUGAUGGAUUAUGUUUGCGACCUCGAUGUUGAAUUAGGAUUCUCUGAAGGCGCAGGAGCUUUAUAUGAGUGGUCUGUUCGACCAUUAAAUUCCUACGUGAUCUGAGUUCAGACC